rnacentral:rRNA from 1 species
AUUUUGCCCAAUGGACGAAAGUCUGAGGCAGCAACUCCGCGUGAGGGAUGAAGGCUCUCGGGUCGUAAACCUCUUUUCUCAGGGAAGAUCCAAGACGGUACCUGAGGAAUAAGCGACGGCUAACUACGUGCCAGCAGCCGCGGUAAUACGUAGGUCGCAAGCGUUGUCCGGAUUUACUGGGCGUAAAGAGCGCGCAGGCGGCUGGUCAAGUCCGAUGUGAAAUCUCCCGGCUCAACUGGGAAACUGCAUCGGAAACUGAUCGGCUUGAAGGUGGGAGAGGGUAGUGGAAUUCCCGGUGUAGUGGUGAAAUGCGUAGAUAUCUGGAGGAAUACCGGUGGCGAAGGCGGCAUCCUGGACCGACAUUGACGCUGAGGAGCGAAAGCUAGGGGAGCAAAC